ACUUACAUUCAAGUAAAUAUGCGUAUAAUUUAGGGGAUAUGGCCCAAAGUUUCUACCGGACUGCCGUAAAUAGUCUGACUACGCUGAGGAUGUAAGUUGAU
rnacentral:ncRNA from 2 species